rnacentral:rRNA from 1 species
AACGAACGCUGGCGGCAUGCCUAACACAUGCAAGUCGAACGAGACCUUCUGGUUUAGGGGCGAACGGGGUCGUAACGCGGUGGAAACUGCGCGUAUGUUCGGAAUAACUCUCUGAAAGGGGUGCUAAUAACGGGGAAUGUUUUCGGACCAAAGAUUCAUCGGCUUGGGGUGGGCCCGCGUUGGAUUAGCGAGGUGGUAGGGUAUAAGGCUACCAAGGCGACGAUCCAUAGCGUGUCUGAGAGGAUGAUCAGCCACACUGGGACUCAGCCACGGCCCAGACUCGUGCGGGAGGCGGCAGUGGGGAAUAUUGGAGUAUGAGCGAGAGCCUGAUCCAGCGAUGCCGCGUGAGUGAUGAAGGCGUUAGGGUUGUAAAGCUCUUUUGCCCGGGAUGAUAACGACAGUACCGGGAGAAUAAGCUCCGGCUAACUCCGUG